GAUGAACGCUGGCGGCGUGCUUAACACAUGCAAGUCGAACGGAAAGGCCCAAGCUUGCUUGGGUACUCGAGUGGCGAACGGGUGAGUAACACGUGGGUGAUCUGCCCUGCACUUCGGGAUAAGCCUGGGAAACUGGGUCUAAUACCGGAUAGGACGAUGGUUUGGAUGCCAUUGUGGAAAGUUUUUUCGGUGUGGGAUGAGCUCGCGGCCUAUCAGCUUGUUGGUGGGGUAAUGGCCUACCAAGGCGUCGACGGGUAGCCGGCCUGAGAGGGUGUACGGCCACAUUGGGACUGAGAUACGGCCCAGACUCCUACGGGAGGCAGCAGUGGGGAAUAUUGCACAAUGGGCGCAAGCCUGAUGCAGCGACGCCGCGUGGGGGGUGACGGCCUUCGGGUUGUAAACUCCUUUCGCUAGGGACGAAGCGUUUUUGUGACGGUACCUGGAGAAGAAGCACCGGCUAACUACGUG
rnacentral:rRNA from 1 species